rnacentral:tRNA from 1 species
GCCGGCUUAGCUCAAUUGGUAGAGCAACUGACUUGUAAUCAGUAGGUUGAGUUUUCAAGUCCUUUAGCCGGCACCA